rnacentral:rRNA from 1 species
GGUUAGUGGCGAAAGGGAGAGGAACACGUGGAUCAUUUACCCCCGGGUCUGGGAUAGCUACGGGAAACUGUAGGUAAUACCAGAUAAUGUCUCCGGACCAAAGGUGCGAUUCCGCCUGGGGAUGAGUCCGCGUCCUAUUAGCUUGUUGGUGGGGUAAUGGCCCACCAAGGCAAUGAUGGGUAGCAGGCGUGAGAGCGCGACCUGCCUCACUGGGACUGAGAUACUGCCCAGACACCUACGGGUGGCUGCAGUCGAGAAUCUUCCGCAAUGGGCGCAAGCCUGACGGAGCGACGCCGCGUGUGGGAUGAAGGCCUUCGGGUUGUAAACCACUGUCGUGGGGAGGAAAUGCCGGUGGGUACUCUCAUCGUUGACCUAUCCUAGGAGGAAGGGUGGGCUAAGUUCGUGCCAGCAGCCGCGGUAAGACGAACCACCCAAACGUUAUUCGGAAUUACUGGGCUUAAAGGGUGCGUAGGCGGUGCGGAAAGUUGGGUGUGAAAUCCCUCGGCUUAACCGAGGAAUGGCGCUCAAAACUACCAUGCUCGAGGAAGGCAGAGGUGAGCGGAACUUAGGGUGGAGCGGUGAAAUGCGUUGAUAUCCUAAGGAACACCGGUGGCGAAAGCGGCUCACUGGGCCUUUUCUGACGCUGAUGCACGAAAGCUAGGGGAGCAAACGGGAUUAGAUACCCCGGUAGUCCUAGCCGUAAACGAUGAGCACUUGGUUGGAGACUCCUCCAUAGGUUUCCGGCCGUAGCGAAAGUGUUAAGUGCUCCGCCUGGGGAGUAUGGCCGCAAGGCUGAAACUCAAAGGAAUUGACGGGGGCUCACACAAGCGGUGGA